rnacentral:rRNA from 1 species
UGCCAGCAGUCGCGGUUAAACCAAGAAAUUUAGUCAUUUUUUUACGGUAAAAAGACAGUUAGGCAGAGAUAUUAAAUCAUAAGACCGUUAGUAAAGGGGUAAAAUCUAAAUACUAAAAGUUAUACAAAAUAUGGUUAAUUGCGCUCGCUGAGGCUGUGACAGCUUUAAGGGAAACUGGGAUUGGAUACCCCAUUAUUUUUAGUUGUAAAUUUAGUUUAGCUUACCAGAGCACUACGAAUAAAAAGUUUAAAACUCAAAGGGCUUGGCGGUGCUUUAGACCUCUCAGGGGAACCUGUCUCAUAAUCGACAAUCCACGUUAGACCUGACUCUUUAUAGCAAUUCAGCUUGUAUACCGUCGUCGUCAGGUAACUUUUAAAAAUGAAAUAGUUAGCUAGACAAUUGUAUUAAUUAAAACGUCAGAUCAAGGUGCAGCUAAUGAAAGGGGGAGGAUGGGUUACAAUUACAAAUUUGUAAUUACGGAUAAAUGUUCUAAAAGCAUUUUUAAGGAGGACUUGAAAGUAAUCUCAAUUAUAUAAAUGGGAUGAAUAUGGCUCUGAAGCGUGCACACAUCGCCCGUCACUCU